rnacentral:rRNA from 1 species
UGGUGGAGUGAUUUGUCUGGUUAAUUCCGUUAACGAACGAGACCUCAACCUGCUAAAUAGUUUCAUGUGGCUUCUGUUGCAGGGUUGCUUCUUAGAGGAACUUUUGGUUGGUUAGCCCAAGGAAGUUUGAGGCAAUAACA